rnacentral:rRNA from 1 species
GACGAACGCUGGCGGCGUGCUUAACACAUGCAAGUCGAACGGAAAGGCCCUGCUUGCAGGGUACUCGAGUGGCGAACGGGUGAGUAACACGUGGGUGAUCUGCCCUGCACUUCGGGAUAAGCUUGGGAAACUGGGUCUAAUACCGGAUAGGAGCCAUCUUUAGUGUGGUGGUUGGAAAGUUUUUUCGGUGUAGGAUGAGCUCGCGGCCUAUCAGCUUGUUGGUGGGGUAAUGGCCUACCAAGGCGGCGACGGGUAGCCGGCCUGAGAGGGUGUACGGCCACAUUGGGACUGAGAUACGGCCCAGACUCCUACGGGAGGCAGCAGUGGGGAAUAUUGCACAAUGGGCGCAAGCCUGAUGCAGCGACGCCGCGUGGGGGAUGAAGGCCUUCGGGCUGUAAACUCCUUUCGCUAGGGACGAAGCGUUUUUGUGACGGUACCUAGAUAAGAAGCACCGGCUAACUACGUG